GAUGCCAAUUCGACACAUAUUUUAGAAGAUGCUUCCCAUGUAGAUCAACAGGUGUCUCUCGGUCUCAUGAUCAGUCUCCAAAGGUGGUUGAGCCUGUCACAGCAUCUGGCCUCGGUUGGCGGAGGAGAGAACGAGUUGGAGAAGUUGGGCUGCUCCAUGCCUGUCCUAUGCGGGGAAGGACGAGAGUUUAGUCACUUGACGAAUGCCGUCGUUCGGUCCAUUUGGAAAUACGGCAAAGAUAUUGCUAAUGUCCCAGUGCAUGGACCUGUUCGGAACAUAUAGGGGUAUUCCAGAAAUCUGUAAAUUAUCAUCCAGCGAAAUUAAUAAAAAAUGA